GCAACAAUCUGGAAGUAAAUGGACUGAUCAGGAUCAGUAUUCUUUAUUUUUAAAACAUCAAGAAAUUAGAGGAUCUGCAGGCAGGGCUGUAGUCAUUUGGAUCAUCUAUUCACUGGGAUCUUUUGAAGCAGACUUUGUAUGCCCUUUUGUACGAUGUGAAGUGACCAAAUAUGAGGAAUGAUGGAGGACAUUUUUACUUUAAUUUACUAGUAGUAAACCUCAAUGCGUGGUGUCCUGGACUCCUUGUGAUGAGCUGACAUUCCUCAAGGACCCCCUCCCUCAGGAAACUACUGGUAUCCCUGGCUACAAACUUGUGUCUCAACUUGUACAUAAAAGCAGAGUGGAUCUGUGUGAAUAGCAAACCACUGCCUUGGAACCAGAAGCCCUGGAGAAAAUUGAGAGCUGAUUAGAGAAAGGCGGCUUGUCUCCAAUCAAGCCCAGAGUCUUGUCUGUUUGCUGGGAGUACAUCCACAGAGCUCUUCACACUGACCCGGAGGGGAGAGGGGUCAAUAUCUUUUUGCAACUGCUUACUUUGAAAAAGUGAUGUGACCUGAUGAGACCUCAGCCAUCUUCUAAA